rnacentral:rRNA from 1 species
UCAGGUAUCUCUUUUGACCUAGUAGAAAAGACAAGGAAGCUAAGCAGGAUUGAGCUUGGACAGUACGUAGAUGGGAGACCUCCUGGGGAAAACUAAGCUUGCUGCUGGAU